AUAUGGAGAAGUAAGAUCGUGGCACGCGUACGUAUGGAAUGUGMUUAACGCGUAASUUCUGGUGCAUUCUUUCGCAACGUGCAUUCGGUGAGCUACGCCSGUAAUCGAUGUUGUGUGAAAUUAUACCACGUACCUUGCCAAGACUAUGUAUGCACAAGAAAUCGCUGUCGUUUGCUCGUGAAGAGGCGAGAAUGGCCAUUGGCGUAUGUGUUCCUUCACGAUAUGGCCUCCAGCAAGCGUUGUUUGUUGUUGCUUGGCGGCAAAAUCUAGGUUGGAGGUAACGUCAUCGGCUGCUUGAAGAAGGAAUGCGCGMUGAAUGGUUGACAUCAAAUUUU
rnacentral:rRNA from 1 species